UACUAGCACCCCGAGCGGUCGGGACGAUUAUUGGGCCUAAAGCAUCCGUAGCCGGUUUACAAGUCCUCCGUUAAAUCCAGCUGCUUAACAGAUGGGCUGCGGAGGAUACUAUAAGACUAGGAGGCAGGAGAGGCAAGCGGUACUCAGUGGGUAGGGGUAAAAUCCGUUGAUCCAUUGAAGACCACCAGUGGCGAAGGCGGCUUGCCAGAAUGCGCUCGACGGUGAGGGAUGAAAGCUGGGGAGCAACCGG
rnacentral:rRNA from 1 species